rnacentral:lncRNA from 1 species
GCCUCUUUGUUCAUUCCCAUAUUUUGUGACAUUCUUAGUUCUAGGAGUUUUCUGUAUUUUAACAUAGUUCGUGUUUUCCCCAUUUCCCCAUUUCUCGAAGCUUGUUCACCCUUCAAAUUUUAUGAUAUACUAGUAUGUAGCUGUUUUCAUUAGAACUAUUAAUAAUAUAUGCACAAAAAGAAGUGUCAUACGAUAUUGGAACGUUUUCGUGAUUAAUUCAUUACUAUAAUUUCAUCAUAUGCUGUCGGAUAUGUGUUUUUAGUGUCAGUAUCAAUAAAAU